CUUUUUCUUUUUACAAUUUUUACUUAAAAAAACAUUUUUUAUAAUAAAUACUACUGUUUAAUUCGCCCGAGUGGAUAGUCCUUCCAAAAUCACCCCACAAAGAUGGGAUUUUUAUAGCUCAAAACUGGUGGAGAGCGUAAUGCUAAUUAUCAGAAAUCCAUGAUUGGCGGCCAAAUCCGAAAUCCAUUCUUCGUUCCUAGUCGGCUGCACACAAACCCCGGUUCAGCUAAGGUUUCUCAAGCCCAGCUUCCGAUGGCGUCUUCUUCGGAGUUCGCCGUUCUUCUUCAGUUGUGCAUCGAUUCUCAAUCCCUGAAGCAGGGGAGAAAGCUGCAUGUUCAGAUUCGGGAAGCUGGUUUAGAGAUGAAUCCGGCUUUGCUUCCCAAACUGCUGAAGCUCUACUGUGUAUGUGAUCGGGUUGAUGAUGCUCGAGAGGUGUUUGAUAGAAUUCCUGAAACGGACUUGGAUACCAUUGCCUGCACUGCGAUGAUUGUCGGUUAUGUUAGAAAUGAGGCUCCCCGCGAAGCGAUUAAGCUGUUUUGUGAAAUGCUUGAGCUUGGGCUGGAUCUAGAUUCUUAUACCUUUUCGGCAUUGCUGAAGGCUUCUACUGAUUUGAUUCUGUAUUGUUUGAGUACUAAUUUGCAUUCACUGAUACUGAAGUUUGGAUUUGAUUCCUUUGUAUCUGUCGGAAAUGCGCUUAUUCAUGCUUAUGGGUCUUUUGGAGAUGCUUCUGGUGCACAUAAAGUGUUUGACAGAAUGCCUGAUCGGGAUGUUGUGUCUUGGUCCUCAAUGAUUCAUGCUAGUUCCUCUGCAAAGCGCUUCGUUGAAUCGGCGGCCUUAUUUUCUAGGAUGCAAUUUGAGGAAUUUAUCAGACCUAAUGAGAUUACACUUGUUUCAUUGUUGCCUGCUUGCAGCUUCUUCUCUUCUUUCAGAAAGGGCCAAUCAAUCCAUGCUUAUGCCAUUCGGAAUGGGUUUAAUUCUAAUCUUAUUGUUUGUUCUGCUCUUGUUACAAUGUAUUCCAGAUGUGGAAAUCCCGAUGGAGCUUUUAAAGUAUUCAGUUGUAUGGAGAAAUCUAAUGUUUUGUUAUGGACUUCAAUGAUUGAAGGGUUCUCAAUUAAUGGGAGGUUUGAGCUUGCUCUUGAAUUGUUCAAGGAAAUGCUGGUCCAUGGCUUGAAGCCUAAUUCCCUUACUUUGAUUGUGGUGUUGUCUGCUUGCAGUCAUGGUGGGCUGGUGGAAGAGGGAUUGGAGAUUUUUGAGUCGAUGAAAGAGAGAUUUGGUAUUGAGCCUUGUACCGAGCACCAUGCCUGUAUUGUGGAUAUGUUGGGGAGAGGGGGAAGGCUGAAUGAGGCUGAAAAUUUUAUUGAAAGAAUGGAAGUGCCAGUAACAGGUUCUGUGCUUGGAUCCCUCCUUGGAGCUUGUCAAGCACAUUGCAAUGUGAAGCUUGGGGAGAAGUUGGCAAUGAAGCUUUUUUGGCUCGAACCAUAUAAUGAAGCCAAUUAUGUGAUCUUGUCAAACAUAUAUGCCUCAGUGGGGAGAUGGGAUGAUGUGGGUAAAGUGAGAAGAUUGAUGGCUGUUAAGGGGCUGUCAAAAAGAUCUGGUUGUAGUUGGAUUGAAAUAAAGGACAAGGUAUAUGUGUUUGGAGCACAUGACCUAUCACAUUCACAGUCGGAAAAUAUUUACAGAAAGUUGGAGGAAUUGAAUUGUUCGAUAAUAAAGGCAGGUUAUGUGCCUGCUACCAAAUGUGUCUUGCUAAAUGUGGAGGAGGAUGAUAAGAAAUUGCUGCUUCGUAGCCAUAGUGAGAGAUUAGCUAUUGCUUUUGGUCUUCUAGAUGCCCCUCCUAAUGUUCCUAUUAGAGUUACUAAGAACCUUCGAGUUUGUAAGGAUUGCCAUGAUGCCAUUAAAUUGAUAUCAAAGGUUGUAGCUCGGCAAUUUAUUGUAAGGGAUACACGAAGGUUUCAUCAUUUUUCGCAAGGUUCUUGUUCUUGUGGUGAUUAUUGGUGACAUAAUAUGGCAUCAGGGGCUUACAUUUGUCAGCUUUACUUCGUCUCAAAAAAGGUUGAAGAUGUGGAUAGACUGAUGGAGAUCAUAAAACAAGCUGCUAAAGAAGGCGCUCUUGUCCUUUACACCCU